rnacentral:rRNA from 1 species
GUGGGGAAUAUUGGACAAUGGGGGGAACCCUGAUCCAGCCAUGCCGCGUGUGUGAAGAAGGCCUUUUGGUUGUAAAGCACUUUAAGCGAGGAGGAGGCUACCGAGAUUAAUACUCUUGGAUAGUGGACGUUACUCGCAGAAUAAGCACCGGCUAACUCUGUGCCAGCAGCCGCGGUAAUACAGAGGGUGCAAGCGUUAAUCGGAUUUACUGGGCGUAAAGCGCGCGUAGGUGGCCAAUUAAGUCAAAUGUGAAAUCCCCGAGCUUAACUUGGGAAUUGCAUUCGAUACUGGUUGGCUAGAGUAUGGGAGAGGAUGGUAGAAUUCCAGGUGGAGCGGUGAAAUGCGUAGAGAUCUGGAGGAAUACCGAUGGCGAAGGCAGCCAUCUGGCCUAAUACUGACACUGAGGUGCGAAAGCAUGGGGAGCAAACAGGAUUAGAUACCCUGGUAGUCC